rnacentral:rRNA from 1 species
GAUGAACGCUGGCGGCGUGCCUAAUACAUGCAAGUCGAGCGAACAGAUGAGGAGCUUGCUCCUCUGACGUUAGCGGCGGACGGGUGAGUAACACGUGGAUAACCUACCUAUAAGACUGGGAUAACUUCGGGAAACCGGAGCUAAUACCGGAUAAUAUAUUGAACCGCAUGGUUCAAUAGUGAAAGACGGUUUUGCUGUCACUUAUCGAUGGAUCCGCGCCGCAUUAGCUAGUUGGUAAGGUAACGGCUUACCAAGGCAACGAUGCGUAGCCGACCUGAGAGGGUGAUCGGCCACACUGGAACUGAGACACGGUCCAGACUCCUACGGGAGGCAGCAGUAGGGAAUCUUCCGCAAUGGGCGAAAGCCUGACGGAGCAACGCCGCGUGAGUGAUGAAGGUCUUCGGAUCGUAAAACUCUGUUAUUAGGGAAGAACAAAUGUGUAAGUAACUAUGCACGUCUUGACGGUACCUAAUCAGAAAGCCACGGCUAACUACGUG